GACGAACGCUGGCGGCGUGCUUAACACAUGCAAGUCGAACGGAAAGGCCUAGCUUGCUGGGUACUCGAGUGGCGAACGGGUGAGUAACACGUGGGUGAUCUGCCCCUGACUUUGGGAUAAGCCUGGGAAACUGGGUCUAAUACCGGAUAUUCAUUUUUCCUCGCAUGGGGAUUUGUGGAAAGCUUUUGCGGUUGGGGAUGGGCCCGCGGCCUAUCAGCUUGUUGGUGGGGUAAUGGCCUACCAAGGCGACGACGGGUAGCCGACCUGAGAGGGUGAUCGGCCACACUGGGACUGAGACACGGCCCAGACUCCUACGGGAGGCAGCAGUGGGGAAUAUUGCACAAUGGGCGCAAGCCUGACGCAGCGACGCCGCGUGAGGGAUGACGGCCUUCGGGUUGUAAACCUCUUUCAGCUCCGACGAAGCGCAAGUGACGGUAGGAGCAGAAGAAGCACCGGCCAACUACGUG
rnacentral:rRNA from 1 species